rnacentral:rRNA from 1 species
GCAAGACCAAAGUGGGGGACCUUCGGGCCUCAUGCCAUCAGAUGUGCCCAGAUGGGAUUAGCUAGUAGGUGGGGUAAUGGCUCACCUAGGCGACGAUCCCUAGCUGGUCUGAGAGGAUGACCAGCCACACUGGAACUGAGACACGGUCCAGACUCCUACGGGAGGCAGCAGUGGGGAAUAUUGCACAAUGGGCGCAAGCCUGAUGCAGCCAUGCCGCGUGUGUGAAGAAGGCCUUCGGGUUGUAAAGCACUUUCAGCGGGGAGGAAGGCGAUAAGGUUAAUAACCUUGGCGAUUGACGUUACCCGCAGAAGAAGCACCGGCUAACUCCGUGCCAGCAGCCGCGGUAAUACGGAGGGUGCAAGCGUU